ACGGUUAUAAAUCAACACAUUGAUUUAUAAGCAUGGAAACUCUGAGUGAAACAACAACGAAAUUGCUGUGUAGUCUUGCCCGUCUCCACGAUGGGCUUUUUUUUAA
rnacentral:other from 1 species